ensembl:lincRNA
UAAUUUUAUCACAUAGACACUCCUCCACGUACUUCUAAGGUUUACCAACUUAAAAAUUAAGCCCCUGUGAGCUGUGACUGCAAGUCAGCACCUAAAUUAGAUCAACACUACAACAUCAAAAAGAGAUACACCCAGAAACCCACUGCCUUAAAGGAUGUAACAGUUCAAAACCUACCAGUGUUUCAGCAAAAACUGCAUUUGAAUCUGUGAGUGCCACCUUCUUUUUAAAAAAAAUUUUAUAGGCUUAUUUUCCUCAUGAUAGUUUCAUUGCAUUUGUUGGGUUGUAAACCAUGUAAAGCUC